rfam:Brachypodium distachyon strain Bd21 chromosome 3, whole genome shotgun sequence.
UAGUUACUCCCUGCGAUCCAUAUUAAUUGUCGAACUAUUACAUGUAUCUAGACUCUUUUUAGGCAUAGAUACAUCCAUAUUUGGACAAAUUUGAGACAACUAAUAUGGAUCGGAGGGAGUACUAC